UCAUGGCAGACAGCAGGAGCAAAGAGGUUGACUCAAAUUAUUCAAGCACAUUCAAAGCUUCCACUUGGAUAUGGUUUACGUAAUAUUUGCUCAUCUUCCAUCGGCAAAGGCAAGUCACGUGGCCAAGCCUCCCAGUGGGGCCAGGAAGUAUAUUCUGCCCACAGGCAAGCAGAGCAAAGGGCAGACCUCUUCCUGGAAUCAGUUCAGCUCUUAGAACCCCCCAUGGGUGGCUGAUGGACAAAGCAAUAAAGCUGACUGCAUCCUGCUCCUUCCCA
rnacentral:lncRNA from 1 species